AGAGUUUGAUCCUGGCUCAGAUUGAACGCUGGCGGCAGGCUUAACACAUGCAAGUCGAACGGUAGCAGGAAGAAAGCUUGCUUUCUUUGCUGACGAGUGGCGGACGGGUGAGUAAUGCUUGGGAAUCUGGCUUAUGGAGGGGGAUAACUGUGGGAAACUGCAGCUAAUACCGCGUAUUCUCUGAGGAGGAAAGGGUGGGACCUUAGGGCCACCUGCCAUAAGAUGAGCCCAAGUGGGAUUAGGUAGUUGGUGGGGUAAAGGCCUACCAAGCCUGCGAUCUCUAGCUGGUCUGAGAGGAUGACCAGCCACACUGGAACUGAGACACGGUCCAGACUCCUACGGGAGGCAGCAGUGGGGAAUAUUGCGCAAUGGGGGGAACCCUGACGCAGCCAUGCCGCGUGAAUGAAGAAGGCCUUCGGGUUGUAAAGUUCUUUCGGUAAUGAGGAAGGGAUGUUGUUAAAUAGAUAGCAUCAUUGACGUUAAUUACAGAAGAAGCACCGGCUAACUCCGUGCCAGCAGCCGCGGUAAUACGGAGGGUGCGAGCGUUAAUCGGAAUAACUGGGCGUAAAGGGCACGCAGGCGGACUUUUAAGUGAGAUGUGAAAUCCCCGAGCUUAACUUGGGAACUGCAUUUCAGACUGGGAGUCUAGAGUACUUUAGGGAGGGGUAGAAUUCCACGUGUAGCGGUGAAAUGCGUAGAGAUGUGGAGGAAUACCGAAGGCGAAGGCAGCCCCUUGGGAAUGUACUGACGCUCAUGUGCGAAAGCGUGGGGAGCAAACAGGAUUAGAUACCCUGGUAGUCCACGCUGUAAACGCUGUCGAUUUGGGGAUUGGGCUAUAUGCUUGGUGCCCGAAGCUAACGUGAUAAAUCGACCGCCUGGGGAGUACGGCCGCAAGGUUAAAACUUAAAGGAAUUGACGG
rnacentral:rRNA from 1 species